rnacentral:misc_RNA from 1 species
GAUGAAGAACGCAGCGAAAUGCGAUAAGUAGUGUGAAUUGCAGAAUUCAGUGAAUCAUCGAAUCUUUGAACGCACAUUGCGCCCCUUGGUAUUCCAUGGGGCAUGCCUGUUCGAGCGUCAUUUGUACCCUCAAGCUUUGCUUGGUGUUGGGUGUUUGUCCCGCGUUGCGCGUGGACUCGCCUUAAAGCGAUUGGCAGCCGGCAUAUUGGCCUUGGAGCGCAGCACAUUUUGCGCUUCUAGUCAUGAAUGUUGGCGUCCAUUAAGCCUAUACAUUUGCUCUUGACCUCGGAUCAGGUAGGGAUACCCGCUGAACUUAAGCAUAUCAAUAAGCAGAGGA